AGUCGACGGGAUUGGGAGCUUGCUCCCUGAGAGUGGCGCACGGGUGAGUAACGCGUAUGCAACCUACCUUUAACUGAGGGAUAGCCCAUAGAAAUGUGGAUUAAUACCUCAUAGUUCUUUUGUUCCGCAUGGAAUGAAAGAUAAAGCUCCGGCGGUUAAAGAUGGGCAUGCGUGACAUUAGUUUGUUGGUGAGGUAACGGCUCACCAAGACUACGAUGUCUAGGGGUUCUGAGAGGAUGAUCCCCCACACUGGUACUGAGACACGGACCAGACUCCUACGGGAGGCAGCAGUGAGGAAUAUUGGUCAAUGGGCGCAAGCCUGAACCAGCCAUCCCGCGUGAAGGAUGAAGGCCCUAUGGGUCGUAAACUUCUUUUAUACACCAAGAAAAAGCAGGACGUGUCCUGCCCCGACGGUAGUGUAUGAAUAAGCAUCGGCUAACUCCGUGCCAGCAGCCGCGGUAAUACGGAGGAUGCAAGCGUUAUCCGGAUUUAUUGGGUUUAAAGGGUGCGUAGGCGGCUUUUUAAGUCAGUGGUGAAAUCCUGUCGCUUAACGAUAGAAUUGCCAUUGAUACUGAAAAGCUUGAGUACAAUUGAGGUAAGCGGAAUGUGUAGUGUAGCGGUGAAAUGCUUAGAUAUUACACAGAACACCGAUUGCGAAGGCAGCUUACUAAACUGUCACUGACGCUGAUGCACGAAAGCGUGGGGAGCGAACAGGAUUAGAUACCCUGGUAGUCCACGCCGUAAACGAUGAUCACUCGCUGUAUGCGAUACACAGUAUGCGGCCAAGCGAAAGCAUUAAGUGAUCCAC
rnacentral:rRNA from 1 species